rnacentral:misc_RNA from 1 species
GGAGAAGACUGCACCAUGGCUAUCAGUGCCUCAAUUUGGAGACUGGGAUCAAAAGGGUGUGAUGCCAGACUACUCUAUGGAUUUCUCAAAGAUAAGAGAGAAUAGGAAACAGAACAAAUCAAGAGCCAGUCUUGGAAAUGAGGAAGAACUUAUUUCCACAGCUAAUAGCAAGUCAAAUACAGUUCACUCAGCCCGCAGUGAUGAUCUCCAAUUCCAUCAAACUCACCCAUCAACAACGAGGAGAAGCAUUUUCAGCUACUUCAAUUGCUGUGUGAAAGCUUGAAGCUGAUUGGGAUUGAUUUUUGUGUAUUUUUCUAACUUUGCUGUAAUGAUAAUGUUUCAAGGUGACUUUAUGGUAACUCAUCUAAGAAAUAGCAACUUAUUCUGGCUUAUGAAGAUUGUGAAUUCUUU